CCUAGGUGCGUGAUUCCGUGGAUUUUUGUGUUCUGGUCUAUUUAUUCCUGAUGCUUGCUGCUGUAUGCAGCUAUGUAGCUUGCUUUUGUGCCUAUACAGGGUUAGGUUUUUUAUCAUGCUGAUGUAUAAUUCACCUAAGAUGUUUGUAUGAUGUUUUGAGUUCAAGCAGGCAUGUAUUUUUUGAGUUUAAUUUCAGUGUAAUUUGUGACAGCGCAUUCAGUGUAAUUUUCUGAAGGGAGUUGGGGGAUUAUGUACAUGCCCCCCUUCAUGUAUAGCACUUUUCAGUGUAUUCUAGCCAAUUUUUACAGUGUAAUCCCAGCAUAUUUUGUUCCAAGUUUACAGUGUAAUUUGUCCUGCACUUACAGUGUAAUGUACCCAAUGUUUACAGUGGAAUUUGUCCUGCACUUACAGUGUAAUGUAUCCAAUUUUUACAGUGAAUUUGUCCCAAGUUUACAGUGUAAGCUACACAUUAUUUACAGUGUAAUUUUAUCCCAAGCUUACAGUGCACUUUGUCUUGCAGUUUUUUUUACCUAAUGUUUUUCCAGUGAAUUGUCCUAGUGUAAUUACAGCGGAUUGGAAGUGUAAUUUGAAUGUAGUUUUACCCGACAAUGUCACUGUACUUUGCUUAGAUUGGUACUAUAGGACUUUUCAAAUGCUUCAGCUAACUUUAUUUUUCACCAACUUUUACUCUAUAGUUUCUAUGGUUCAGUACUGUAAUUGUCAGUUAGAUUACAGUGAUUUUGUAUGUUUUAAUUGGAUGCCUUUCACUGUUAUUUAACUUCUUUUUCCUUUUUGUCCUCCUUGUUUAUAGGUUUAAAUGGGUAAGCUACGGAAAGCCUCUCAUCCGGAUGUUCCUGUAGUAUCAUCUUUAGAGAGUGCAGAUUCUGGGGGUGAACCUUUCGUGCCUAAUGAUUUUGCAGAAGAUGGUUCCUGUUGCAGAUUCAUGUUGUAGAACAGGUUUGUGUUCCAGGGAUUGGAUUCUCCUCCCCCAUCUUCGCUUGCUGGCAUUUCCUGAUACAAUUCUGCCUCCAGUGUCUGCAAAGUAAGUUUAUUGAUUGUUAGUGUGUUUUCCUUCGGCAUUUUCCUGUAAUAGUUAUUCAGCUGUUGCUUUGCUUACAUUGUCAUCUCUUGUUGUGAUGAAACUGUCAUCUGAUUUGCUCCUGGAGUUUUCGUAGAUAGUUUCGGUGAUGUUCGUAGAUCCCUCUCCUGAAUGUACGUGCAAGGUUCAUCACAAGUUCUUUUUUUAGACAUCUCCUGAAUGUACCUGGUAUUUUUUUGAUUUUGGGAUUUUUACCUUGUAUAUAAUGUCGGAAUGAAGGAGCGCAGUGAAAGAAAAUGUUUCUCUUGUUAGCUUUUUACCCUUUUAUGUAUUUUAAACAUAUUCCCAAAGCAAUUGCACCUCACAUUUAGUAUGAGUUCUUCCUAUGGCAAUCUUAGUAGAUCCUCUUCAGUUACUACCCUCAUCACGCUCCUCUCCCGUGACAUUUGGAAAGCAGAAUGUCAGUGUUAACAUAAUCAUGAGCAGCAAAGCGUUUAGUAAUAGAUGAAAGUUUUUUUUUGAAAUGCUUCUUUCUAUUGGGAGAGGGGCAGGAGAUAGUCCCUGUAUUUUCUAGGGGUUUUGCACUGCAAUUUACUAGGUACUUACAGUGUAAAAACCCUUAGAUUUGCACUGGAUUUUUACAUGUUUAAUUUCACACUGGAAUUUCUAGGGAUUUUACAGUGGAAAAUUUCCAGGUAGCUACAGUGUAAUUUUCAUAUUUUACACUGUAAGUCUGCAUUUACAGUUUAAUUUACUAUGUAAUUUACACUGUAAGUACACCAUUUGUCUUCACUGCAUUUUUUACUCUGUAAAGUGUACUUUCAAUGUAAUUACACCAUUUUCUUUACUCUGGAAUUUAUGGGAAAUCUACACUUGAAAUUUCUAGGCACAAGACUAGUUACAUGGGGAUUUACACUGUAAUUUUCUAGGAUCUACACUGGAUUUUUGACUAGAUUUACACCGGAUUUACAUGGGGAUUUUUUAUGAUGUCUAUGAUUUACACUGUAACUUCAUCUUUUGUCUACAUGCUUACAAUGGAAUUUAUGGGGAUUUUACAGUGUAUACUUUUCAAUGUAAUUCCAUCAUUUCUUUAUUCUGGAAUUUAUGGGAAUUUUACACUGGAAUUUUCUAGGUGCAAGAGUAGUUUACAUGGGGAUUUACACUCUAAUUUUCUGGGAUUUACACUGGAAUUUUGACUAGUUUACACUGGAAAUUUACACUGUAAUUUUCUGGGAUUUUACACUGGAAUUUUGACUAGUUAACAUGGGGAUUUACACUGUAAUUUCUGGGAUUUACACUGGAAAUUGACUGGUUUUACAUGGGGAUUUACACUGUAAUUUUUUGGGAUUUUACACUGGAAUUUUGACUAGUUUACAUGGGGAUUUACACUGUAAUUUCUGGGAUUUACACUGAAAAUUGACUGGUUUUACAUGGGGAUUUACACUGUAAAAUUCUAGGAUUUACACUGGAAAUUAACUAGGUUCCUGAAAUGUUUUCUGAUGUCUAUGAUUCACACUGUAAUUUUUGUGUAUUUACAAUGUAUAAUUUACACUGGAAUUUAUGGGGAAUUUACAGUGUAAUCUGUUAGGAACAAGACUAGUUACAUGGGGAUUUACACUGUAAUUUUCUGGUUUUUUACACUAUGGAAUUUUCUGGGAUGUUCUCUGAUGUUGAUCUAUUUGUUUUGUACAUGAAGGAAACUCCUUCAGUUUUUGUUCUUGCAAGAGGUGAAGAGAGAUGAUGGAUGAGGGAGUUGGUGUUCGACUGUUUUUGCUGACCUGUAGAUGAUCGUGUUGUUGAUCUCCCUGCUGCUUCUCCUCAGGUACAUUUCCCUCCCCGAAUUUUGUGUUUGCUCUUCCUUCUUCUCCUCCUCCCCGAUCUGCCAUGGCUGCCUCUCCCAUGGGCGGCUCCCAGAUUUGUUCUAGCCCUGUUUUGUGGAGGGGCUUGGUCUUUGCAUGCGUUGCAAACUUGCCGGCAUGUGCUAUGUGGUCCCCUGAUCGGGAGGGGGGUUCGUUUGUCCAGGACGAACCGCGUGAGAUGUUUACCCGACCCGUUUAGGUGUUCUUUUCUGUUCUUUGGUGAUUUUGCUGCUAAUACAGAUGUAUUGUGUUGAUUGGUCGGGAAAUUUGACUGUUUUCGAAUUGAAAAACAGUCAAAUGUCAAAUAGACAGUCCCAAAAUUAAAGCUAGUUAGUAAGUAUACAUGUAUUGGUUAAUCAAUCAUGGUACGCACUGCACCAUAGUGUAUAACAGUAUAUGUCAACUCAUCUAAUUGCAUACAAGCAGCAAUGGAGCAGCGGAAUAAUGAAACAUGGUGAGGGAUGGAGUGAUGAGUUAAUGAUCCCUCCCCGCCUCCGACUGCGGGAGGAGCCCCGGGAUGAAGGGCACGCCGUACUUGGGGAUGAACUG
rnacentral:lncRNA from 1 species